UAUUGCAGUAUUCUGCAAAGUAUUUAUUGGUGCCCAGUGUGUCACUUUUAAAAUUUAAAAUCCACUUAAAAGUCACCUUGAAUUCUUACUUCAGUGAAUAAACCAGCCAGUGUAAACAGUAAAUAAACCCUUGUUGAUUUGCAAGCAAUAUGUCAUUUGUGUGGGUAUUCUUGUUCAUAGAGAGAGAAAGUGGUUGAACACAUAUUUUAUCUUUGAAGUAAAAAUAGUCCAUAUCAUGAUGAGGUUAAAACAAGUACGGUGAAGGCUGGUCCAUAGGUGGGGGUGGAUAGACACUCAGUUUUAGCUGCAAAAAAAAAGAAAUCAGCUCUGAGGAGUGCUCAGGACAAAGUGUGUUGUAAACAGACGUGUUUUCUCCGUCAUAACUAUAUCUGUAAUUUUCUUUCUCAGUCCCUUUAUGGGUGGCUGGAGAUGAUGCUGAG